ACCGAUAUUUCGACCACCGCCGGUGAUCUUUAUCAGGGUUUUGUUUCAAAAUUUAAAACCCUGAUGAAGACCACCGGCGGUGGUCGAAAUAUUGGUAAAA
rnacentral:pre_miRNA from 1 species